rnacentral:rRNA from 1 species
UACGUAGGGGGCUAGCGUUGUCCGGAAUCAUUGGGCGUAAAGAGCGCGUAGGCGGCCAGAUAAGUCCGGUGUGAAAGUCACAGGCUCAACCUGUGAAUGCCGCUGGAAACUGUCUGGCUAGAGUCCGGAAGGGGCGAGUGGAAUUCCUGGUGUAGCGGUGAAAUGCGCAGAUAUCAGGAGGAACACCAAUGGCGAAGGCAGCUCGCUGGGACGGUACUGACGCUGAGACAGAACGAGCAGUG